rnacentral:rRNA from 1 species
GUGAAACCGGUGAGGUGGAAACGGAUAGAGUCGGCGUAUCUUGCAAGUAUUCAUUUUUUUUCUGUUAUAUUAUUUUAUCGCUGAGCUCCAGAUUGGGCAGUGUAAAAUUUUAUGAUUGAAUUUGAUGCAUUUACUUGCUUGGUGCGUGGGGUUGUUUGAGACAGAUUUGUGACCACUAUUUUGAGGCCAGCUUGCUGGUACCCAAAUUGUGUUAGCAUUUUUUGUUUUGAAUAUAUUUACAUAGAAUAUGGCUUACGGGCAUUAUUUGGUUUGAUUUGGGUGUAAGUUACGGUCGCAUGCGACACGUGCUUUUCAAUCAGAUCGGUCCAUUUAAUGCUCUCAUACUCUUUCCCCAUGUAAAAGCCGGUCAUCUAUCCGACCCGUCUUGAAACACGGACCAAGGAGUUUAUCGUGUGCGCAAGUUUUUGGGUGUUUAAAACCUAAAAGCGAAAUGAAAGUAAAUGGCUCUUAAGAGUCUGAUGUGCGANUUCUUUUUUUUAAAAGGAAGCAGCAUGGCCCCAUUC